GGUCAGGUCCUGCUCAAUGGUUGCGUCGUGAAUCCCGCCAGGUCCGGAAGGAAGCAACGGUAAGCGAUUGUGACCAUGUGACGCAGAGUGCUUGGCCCCU
rnacentral:SRP_RNA from 1 species